UUGAGUAGCCAGGAGGAGGGCAAGGAAAGCCGUUGAGAAAUGCUUAUUGAAAUUUUUGAUCUUCAUCGAUUUAUCAGUGGGGACCGUGUUACCUAGCCUCAGUGCAGUGUGCAGCUGGGAGGAGGUGCUCUUGUUCUCCAUGGACUUUACAGUGUCACAGAACUUUUUGGAGUUAGAGCUACAGGCUGCGAAUUUCUGCUUGAAACAGCUAGCCUUUGCUUUCCUGACUGACUGCGUGUAUUGGUUCCUGACUUCCCUGAACAGUUGCAUAUCGUGGGGACUAUUCUAUGCUAUUGCAGUCCACCACAGGAUGUUUUUGUGCUGGUUAAGGGCAGUCAGGUCUGGAGUGAACCAAGGGCUAUAUCUGUUCUUAGUUCUGCAUUUUAUGAACGGGGCAUGCUUAUCUAAGGUGAGGAAAUUACUUUUAAAGAAUAACCAGGCAUCCUCGAAUGACGGGAAGAGGUCAAUAUCCUUCCAGGAUACCCGGGCCAGGUCGAUUAGAAAGGCCUGCUCGCAGAAGUGUUUUAGGGAGCGUUUGACAGUGAUGAGGGGUGGCCACCUGGGACCCAUAGCAGAUACAGGCAAUGAGGCAUUGAUCGCUGAGAUCCUGAUGGAAAACAGCGGAGGUGUAUUUGAAGGGCAAGUUGGUCAGGAUAAUGCCUAUGAUGGUGCCCAUGUUAACGGAUUUAGGGUUGUACCUGGUGGGUUCCUUGAUGAUUCGUGUGAAGUUGAGGGCAUCUAGCUUAGAUUGUAAGACACGCCACCAUAUCCCAGUUUAGGUCACCUAACAGAAUGAACUCUGAAGCUAGAUGGGUGGUGAUCAAUUCACAAAUGGUGUCCAGAUCACAGCUGGGAGCGGAGGGGGGUCGAUAGCAGGCGGCAACAGUGAGAGACUUAUUUCUGGAGAGGUACAUUUUUAAAAUUAGAAGUUCAAUCUGUUUGCGUAAAACCUGGAAAGUAUGACAGAACUUUGCAGGGUAUCUCUGCAGUAGAUUGCAACUCCUCCCCCUUUGGCAGUUCUAUCUUGACAGAAAAUGUUGUAGCUGGGUAUGGAAAUCUCAGAAUUGUUGGUGGCCUUCCUAAGCCAGGAUUCAGACACGGCAAGGACAUCAGGGUUGGCGGAGUGUGCUAAAGCAGUGAGUAAAACAAACUUAGGGAGGAGGCUUCUGAUGUUGACAUGCAUGAAACCAAGGCUUUUUCGAUCACAGAAGUCAACAAAUGAGGGUGCCUGGGGACAUGCAGGGCCUGGGUUUACCUCCACAUCACCCGUGGAACAGAGUAGGAGUAGGAUGAGGGUACGGCUAAAGGCUAUCAAAACUGGUCGCCUAGAGCGUUGUGGACAAAGAGUAAAAGGAGCAUAUUUCUGGGUGUGGUAGAAUAGAUUCAGGGCAUAAUGUGCAGACAGGGAUAUGAUGGAGUGCGGGUACAGCGGAGGUAAGCCCAGGCACUGAGUGAUGAUAAGAGAGGUUGUAUCUCUGGAUAAGCUGGUUAUAAUGGGUGAGGCAUGUGUGAGAGUGGGACAAAGGAGGUAUCAGAGGUAUAAUGAGUGGAACUAGGGGCUCCGCAGUAAACUAAAACAAUGAUAACUAACCUAAACAGCAGUAUACAAGGCAUAUUGACAUAUGAGAGAGACAUACAGUGAGGCAUAAAGUAAUCACAGGUGUUGAUUUGGAGAGCUAACUUAGACAACAAUGGGUGAGACAACAACAGCUACAUCAGCUAAAACAACAACAGGUAAAAUGGCGAUGACUGGGCAGAGAGGGUCGGUUAACUAUACACACAGCCUGAGUUCGCGGCUGGGACCGACAGAUAAAGACGCCAUCACGCGGGCGAUGCGGUCUUUAAAGUUAGUACCCCUGGGCUAGUAGAAGCGUCUGCUCCGACGGAGGCCGGUUGAAGGCACAGCGGAUGGAGUAUUCGUCUGCAGCCCUGCAGUGUUGGUGCGGCGGGGCGCCGUGUCGACUAAGGAUCCAAGCCAGAUGGUGAAAGAGGUAUUGUAGUUGUAGUAAUUUAGUUUUCUAUCCGGGAGAUGCGCCUGGAUCACGGCUAACUGGUACUUUCACUUUCUGAUUACUGGAAAUCAGGAGGAUGUUUCAAGAGUGAAAGUAGAAGCAGUACAGACGUGUUUACAUAACCUGUUAAGAUAUGACUUUUGAUCUGGUAUUUGAUGACCCUCUCAUCCAAACCUAAUGUUGUGACUAGUUUGUUUAUUUUCUCUGUUGAUUGACAUUGUGAGAGUAUUGUGCAGGUAAACAAAUUGAUAUUAUAUAUUUGGGCAUAUUUCUCUUGCCAGAGCCACAAUCGAUGUAAUCCCUAUCCCAGGCUGUUGUCCCCAAAUGCUUCAAGACAGCCACCAUUGUCCCUGUACCUAAGAAAGCAAAGAUGACACAGCAGUAGUAGGCUUGAUUACCAACAAUGACUUGACAGCCUACAGCGAGGAGGUGAGGGCUUUGGGAGUGUGGUGCCAGGAAAUAACCUCUUACCCAACGUCAACAAAACUAAGGAGAUGGUGGACUUCAGGAAACAGCAGAGGGAGCACCCCCCUAUCCACAUCGAUGGGACCGCAGUGGAGAAGGUGGAAGGUUUUAAGUUCCUCGGCGUACACAUCACUUACAAAUUCAAACUGAAAUGGUCCACCCACACAGACAAUGUAGUAAAGAAGGCACAACAGCGCCUCUUCAACCUCAGGCGGCUAAAGAAAUUUGGCUUAACACCGAAAACCCUCACAAACUUUUACAGAUACACAAUUGAGAGCAUCCUGUUGGGCUGUAUCACUGCCUGGUACGGCAACUGCACCGCCCACAACGGCAAAGCUCUCCAGAGGGUGGGGCGGUCUGCCCAACGCAUUACCGGGUGCAAACUUCCCGCCCUCCUGACACCUACAGCACCUGAUGCCAUAGGAAUGCCAAAAAGAUCAUCAAGGACAUCAACCACCCGGACCACUGACUGUUCACCCGAUAUCAUCCAGAAGGCGAAGUCAGUACAGGUGCAUCAAAGCUGGGACAGACAGAUUCUAUCUCAAGGCCCUCAGACUGCUAAACAGCCAUCACUAGCACAGAGGCGGCUGCCUAUAGACAUAGAUUAGGAAUCACUGGCCACUUUUAGAAAUGGAUCACUAGCCACUUUAAUAAUGUUAUGUAUCUAGCAUUACUCAUUAGGGAUGCACCGAUUUGACAUUUUUGGCCGAUACUGAUAUCUGAUAUUUUCCUUGCCAAAAAAAAUGAUACCGAUAUUUACAAUUUUAGCGGCCUUUUAAGCAUUCUAGUACAGUUAAAUAGUUAACACACACACAUGGACGCAGCGGUCUAAGGCACUGCAUCUCAGUGCAAGAGGUGUCACUACAGUCCCUGGUUUGAAUCCAGGCUGUGUCACAUCUGACUGUGAUUGAGAAUCCCGUUUUGCGGCGCACAAUUGGCCCAGCAUCAUCCGGGUCGUCAUUGUAAAUAAGAAUUUGUUCUUAACUGACUUGCCUAGUUAAAUAAAGGUUACACAAACACCACACUGACCAAAAAGUUAUUUUGUUGGCAUUUACGUAUGUCCCCAUUACCAGUAAAACAUAAUCAAAAACCUAUUUCUUUCACUUACUUGCUGUGCUGUUUCGUUGUUCAUUUGUUCAGUCGUUUCAUUCUCAACCAGGAUUUCUAUGGAACGCCGUUUGUCUUUGCGUGGCAUAAAAGAUACACGUCAAAUAACACUAUUUGAUGUGUCAAAUAGCACUACAUCUGUUUCAUUAGCUAUAGUUAGCUAGCUAACUAUAUAGCUAGGUGUCAUCAUCUAAAAUAACCCUCAUUUAUAAGACAGUUGUUAUUUGAUUAAUGGUGGUUGGACCCAUCUACGUGAAACUAGCCCCAAUAAGGAUUAGCCACAAUAGUGGACUUUGUUUAUCCUUCAAAAUAAAAGUAUGGCAUAAUUCUACUAUUUGUAUUCAUUUGCAUUACUAUCAAUAACAUACUUUUAUUUUGAAGGCAAACCGCAAAUUCCACUAUUGUGCCUAAUCCUUACUGUGGCUAGCUUCACAACACAUAACCCGGUGCGGUGGAGCCUCACUAGCCAGAUGAAGCUAGCUGGCUGCUUAUAACAUUAACUUUGGGCAACAGGUUGCUGACUAGCUAUUUAUUUUCAUGAACUGAAGUUCAAUUUCAAUAGAAGAACAAUAAGUGGAAACCUAGCUAAUAUUUACUCACAAGGAUAUAUAUAUUUUUGUACCUUUAUUUAACUAGGCAAGUCAGUUAAGAACAAAUUCUUAUUUUCAAUAACGGCCUAGGAACUGCCUGUUCAGGGGCAGAACGACAGAUUUGUACCUUGUCAGCUCGGGGGUUUGAACCUACAACCUUGCGGUUACUAGUCCAACGCACUAACCACUAGGCUACCCUGCCGAUUCCUAAAUCAUUGCUAAGAAUAAUGAAAAUGACUGCAGGUUCUACUGGUAAUUGUUUUCAGUCUGGGUGUAUUGGUGCUAGCUAAGUACCAAGCUAAAGCUAGCUACCCCAGAAGUUGCGGCCGAACAAAUUAUGCUUUAUUACCAACACGGUAUUGUAAACACAUCGUUCGUGGCUGGUGUUUGCUUGUUUGCUGACUUUUUUGUACAACUUUGACAGUGCUACUGUAUCGUGUUUGACAUGCAAAGACCCAAACAGCGUUCCAUAGUAUGUAUGUCGUGAAACUAAUAGCAGUGACACUAUUACUGUGUAACUCCGGGAGGACAACAUCUCAAAAUAGCGCACUUGGUAGUGUGUACCAGUGCUAGAUCAGUCGGCGAAAGCCAACAUCACCCACGACAGAAAACAUUUAUUUGUCAAGGGCAAUGAAUUCCAUUACUUGGCUUUAAUGGAUUUCACCUUUGAGUUGUCUCGCUGAAAUUUUGUUAUUCUUUAAAAUGACUGCUCGAGGGGGGUAGCUCUAAGAAGUUAAUUACUUGUAUAAAAUACACCUGUCCACACACGCAAUCAAACAGACUCCAACCUCUCCACAAUGGCCAAGACCAGAGAGGGUGUAAGGACAUCAGGGAUAAAAUUGUAGACCUGCACAAGGCUGGGAUGGGCUACAGGACAAUAGGCAAGCAGCUUGGUGAGAAGGCAACAACUGUUGGCGCAAUUAUUCGAAAAUGGAAGAAGUUCAAGAUGAUGGUCAAUCACCCUCGGUCUGGGGCUCCAUGCAAGAUCUCAUCUCGUGGGGCAUCAAUGAUCAUGAGGAAGGUGAGGGAUCAGCCCAGAACUACACGGCAGGACCUGGUCAAUGACCUGAAGAGAGCUGGGACCACAGUCUCAAAGAAAACCAUUAGUAACACACUACGCCGUCAUAAAUUAAAAUCCUGCAGCGCACGCAAGGUCCCCCUGCUCAAGCCAGCGCAUGUCCAGGGCCAUCUGAAGUUUGCAAAUGACCAUCUGGAUGAUCCAGAGGAGGAAUGGGAGAAGGUCAUGUGGUCUGAUGAGACAAACGCAGAGCUUUUUGGUCUAAACUCCACUCGGCGUGUUUGGAGGAAGAAGAAGGAUGAGUACAACCCCAAGAACACCAUACCAACCGUGAAGCAUGGAGGUGGAAACAUCAUUCUUUGGGGAUGCUUUUCUGCAAAGGGGACAGGACAACUGCACCGUAUUGAGGGGAGGAUGGAUGGGGCCAUGUAUCGCGAGGUCUUGGCCAACAACUUCCUUCCCUCAGUAAGAGCAUUGAAGAUGGGUCGUGGCUGGGUCUUCCAGCAUGACAACGACCGAAACACACAGCCAGGGCAACUAAGGAGUGGCUCCGUAAGAAGCAUCUCAAGGUCCUGGAGUGGCCUAGCCAGUCUCCAGACCUGAACCCAAUAGAAAAUCUUUGGAGAUAGCUGAAAGUCCGUAUUGCCCAGCGACAGCCCUGAAACAUGAAGGGUCUGGAGAAGGUCUGUAUGGAGGAGUGGGCCAAAAUCCCUGCUGCAGUGUGUGCAAACCUGGUCAAGAACUACAGGAAACGUAUGAUCUCUGUAAUUGCAAACAAAGGUUUCUGUACCAAAUAUAAAGUUCUGCUUUUCUGAUGUAUCAAAUACUUAUGUCAUGCAAUAAAAUGCAAAUGAAUUACUUAAAAAUCAUACAAUGUGAUUUUCUGGAUUUUUGUUUUAGAUUCCGUCUCUCACAGUUGAAGUGUACCUAUGAUAAAAAAUUACAGACCUCUACAUGCUUUGUAAGUAGGAAACACUGCCGAUUUUGCAGGUUUUCAAAUACUUGUUCUCCCCACUGUAGUUAUUUGUUUCAAAAUGUAUACCUUCACCAAUUUGGCCACUUCGGUAAAUUUGGGCUACUUGUGUGGGACACCUGGGUGACUUCAUGAUAAAUGUCAUGUAGUACACUCAUUUUGGAAGUUAUCAUUCUGAAACUUUGCACAAGUACUGCUGCCCUCUUAUAUUUUUCACUGAAAUUGUCCCCAUCAUCCUAUCUGAAUGCUUGUUUUAUCUUUUUCAUUUGAAAUAUGAUGAUACAAUAAUACAAAGAAAAACGUGUGUUUUUUUCAUUGUAUUAUCUAUACCAUAUCUAUUGUGUUAUAUUCUCCUACAUUCAAUUCACAUUUACACAAACCUUGCUUCUGGGCCAGAGCUACAGGCAGUUAGAUUUGGGUAUGUCUUCAGGCGGAAAUUGAAAAAAGUAGGGGGGUAGCUCUAAGAGGUUCUAGUUACUUGUUACUUUUAGCUCUUAUUCGUAUCCGUAUUUUUUUUUUAACUGCACUGUUUUUUAGGGGCUCGUAAGCAUUUCACUGUUGUAUUGGGUGCAUAUGACGAAUAAAAUUUGAUUUGAUUUAAUUAAACAUUA